rnacentral:rRNA from 1 species
GACGAACGCUGGCGGCGUGCCUAAUACAUGCAAGUUGAGCGCUGAAGGUUGGUACUUGUACCAACUGGAUGAGCAGCGAACGGGUGUGUAACGCGUGGGGAAUCUGCCUUGAGCGGGGGACAACAUUUGGAAACGAAUGCUAAUACCGCAUAAAAACUUUAAACACAAGUUUUAAGUUUGAAAGAUGCAAUUGCAUCACUCAAAGAUGAUCCCGCGUUGUAUUAGCUAGUUGGUGAGGUAAAGGCUCACCAAGGCGAUGAUACAUAGCCGACCUGAGAGGGUGAUCGGCCACAUUGGGACUGAGACACGGCCCAAACUCCUACGGGAGGCAGCAGUAGGGAAUCUUCGGCAAUGGACGAAAGUCUGACCGAGCAACGCCGCGUGAGUGAAGAAGGUUUUCGGAUCGUAAAACUCUGUUGGUAGAGAAGAACGUUGGUGAGAGUGGAAAGCUCAUCAAGUGACGGUAACUACCCAGAAAGGGACGGCUAACUACGUG